rfam:Streptomyces katrae strain NRRL ISP-5550 contig12.1, whole genome shotgun sequence.
GCCGGUCCUCGGUAGUGGCAUCCGGAAAGCCCCGCACGGAGGGGCCGAGAACCGGGUGCUUCGAUCGAAGACCGGC